rnacentral:lncRNA from 1 species
GGAAGGAGGAAGGAGAGAGAGAGAGAGAGAGAGAGAGAGUUAAGAAAGAAAGAAAGAAAGAAAGAAAGAAAGAAAGAAAGAAAGAAAGAAAGAAAGAAAGAAAGAAAGAAAGAAAGAAAGAAAGAAAGAAAGAAAGAAAGAAAGAAAGAAAGGAAGGAAGGAAGGAAGGAAGGAAGGAAGGAAGGAAGGAAGGAAGGAAGGAGAGGGAGAGAGAGAGAGAGAGAGAGAGAGAGAGAGAGAGAGAGAGAGAGAGAGAGAGAGAGCAAGAGAGAGAGAGAGAGAGAGAGAGAAAGAGAGAGAGAGAGAGAGAGAGAGAGAGAGAGAGAGAGAGAGAGAGAGAGAGAGAGAGAGAGAGAGAGAGAGAAAGAGAGAGAGAGAAUUCAAUAAAUGAGUUGUAACAAUAUGGGUAAUACCGAAAUUAACAGCAAAUGUCUAAUAAUCCUCUGUGUCUCUAGAGUGUGUCUUUCUCCACAUCACCCAUUGAGGAUCCUAUCAACACUUUUAAGCCUUCCUUUCUGAAGAACUUUUUACAUUGUGUUGGUUAUCAGUGCAGCUUUUGGGCUGUCUGUAUGUCAUCCCUUGCUCUUGCUGUAUGACUAGCUUUCCUUCUUUUCUAUUUAUUUACUUCCUGAAUAAUAUUCUUUUAUAAUUUCUUAAGCACAAAUCAUUACUAAUAAUCAGUUGCAGCCAGCUUACACUCACUGUAAGGAUUCUCUCCUUUGCUGUUUGGAUCACACUCAAUUUUUAUUCUUCAUGGAUCAUAGUUUCCACAAUUUGCAGCUAUGUCACAUCAGGAGACCAGGUUUAAGAUGGAAUUUUGUGUCAGAAAACAGUUUAGGAUUGCCAAAAGUAUUGUGCAGUUCUCCGAAUUGAAUCUAUUUUACUCUGUUGCCCCUAUUUAAUUCUAGGGAAAGAAAAGAAGGGUUUAUUAAAUAUCCACAUGUGCCAGGCACUAUGCUAAGCACUUUUUACAAAUAUUCUUUUACUUGAUCCUCACAACAACCCAGCAAGAUAGAAGUUGUUAUCGGCUCCAUUUUAUAUUUGAGGAAAAUAGAAGUUAAGUGACUUUACCAGGGUCAUAUAGCUAACAAGUAUGUGGGGAUGAGGUUGCACUUUGAUCUUCCUGACUUUAGGUCAAGCACUCAGACCACUGUACCACUAGCUUCCUCUCAUUCUGGACCCAUAUCAUUGUUUUCUACAGAAGUCCAAUGCAAAUGAAUGAUUCACCAAAGUGCAGGUUAUCAAAAAUAAGCCAUUGAGGCUCAAAGGAAGCUUCUACCAAUUUGGAAGAGAUUAAAUUAUGAUCCAACAAAAGACAACCUAU